GCAGCCGCCGCCAUAGCGCGAGCGUUGUCUUGUUUUUGAGCAGUAGCAGCGCGGCGGGUCCAGAGAAACUGCUUUCUUCCACAUUUAACGAUAAAACCUGACAAAUGUGAGUUCACCGAAACUCUCCGCGCUCAUGUUUGUUACCGAGAGCACCGUGAACGCGGAGGAGGAGCUUCCGGUCGUUUGUUUCGUUGUAAAACGUCUGGAACGUUUCAGGCUUUUAAAUGGUUUUAUUAACGGCAGCAUCUUCAGUUUAACAGACACUCCCGAGGCUCCUCUGACUUCAGAAAAACACAAUGCUGUUGGUCUUCUUCUUCAGGUGUUGCCUGUUUGGAGGCUUGCAAUCCCUCUGCCUGCAGUGCUGAUGAUCACUGUGAGCCUGUACAUGAUCCUCCUAGGGAUUGGGCUCUGGAUCCGAUACUGCCUCAAGGACUACUGUUCUUUAGAGUGCAGUGAAUGCUGUGCAGGCCUCUCUGUGUGCGAGCAGUGCAUCAGACUGGGUGAAAUGUGCGACUGCCGGCUGCCGGCUGUGGGACCGUUCCUGGCUGAAUCGUGCUCUCCGGCUUCUUGCUCCAGGUGGGACUGUGCCUGUACCUGCCAGGUUCCUGACUGUGACACCUGCAACUGUUUAUGCUUCGAGAUCAGGAUGAAGUAGGAGACGAGGAUGGAAGUGCUCAUCCACCGAACUAAUUUUAUACUUGUUAUAGCAUUUACAGCGGAGAUGGAGGUGGCUGCACACAGAACCGGCCUUACACCUUCUCUUCUGAGUCAUUCACUGACUUUUUCUCUUUGACUCUUUGAGACUGAACAUUUUUCUUUCAUUGCCAGAGAAUAGGUUGCCUUGCCGCUGAUAGGCUAACCGGUAGCUGUGUGCUGAUAUAUUUCUUCUGUAAAUGUGGCUCAAUAAUCACUAUGGUUGGCUGGCCUUUUCUACAACAUCACACUGCUGCUCUAUACACUAAUUUCCGCUAAUUUAAGAGACUACCCACCACCACUAUCACAUAUCCUCUAGGUUUACUAUAAUUACUGCCUUUGGACCAUCUGUGUGUUCAUCUGAGUAGCUGCAUCGAUCUUACUCGGAUCACACGGAGCUGACUGAAUGGGCAGGUUUUCGCUUCCUUCCUGAUCAGGGUCCGCCCUUGGUGGAUUGUGAUAAUGUCGACUGUAGGUCUCUAAAACGGUGCCAUUAUCCCCCAGCAGCGGGUCUUGGAUUAAAAGCAUCAACGCCAAAAGAGACCUUGUGCCUUUUGAAAUGGCCUGAGGUCACGCCGAGCUGAUGUCUGUUUUGCUGAAAGUACCUUCAGUACCUUGUUUUUAAUGAAUGCUUUAUUAAACCCGCAUUUACACCACAGAAGCUUCUUCUUGUUUUAUCUCCUCCCACUAAAACCUGCAUCCUCAGGAGGUAGCUGCAAAGUUACAGCUGAGUUUGCACACAGUGCCAUAUGUACAUGAGCAUGUUCAGGGAUUGUACUCCUGUUUAUGUUUCCAGGACAGUACUGCAAACAGGAAGGAUUUCCAC
ensembl:lncRNA